rnacentral:rRNA from 1 species
CAGUCGCCGCGGUAAUACGAAGGGUGCAAGCGUUAAUCGGAAUUACUGGGCGUAAAGCGUGCGUAGGCGGUGAGUUAAGUCUGCUGUGAAAUCCCCGGGCUCAACCUGGGAAUGGCAGUGGAUACUGGCUCGCUAGAGUGUGUCAGGGGAUGGUGGAAUUCCCGGUGUAGCGGUGAAAUGCGUAGAGAUCGGGAGGAACAUCAGUGGCGAAGGCGGCCAACUGGGACAACACUGACGCUGAGGCACGAAAGCGUGGGGAGCAAACAGGAUUAGAUACCCGCGUAGUCCCUGUCUCUUAUAC